GGAAGCUGGGGGCUGGAAUGUUAUAAUACAGAUGAAUUUUAUCAUUUGAAAAAGAAUUAGCCUCACGGUAUUUCUUAUGUGUUCAUGGAGUGAAGGCCUGAAGACGGGAGCCCUGCCUGGAGCUCCUCCAGAGCCAGACCUCAGCAUCUGUUUGUCUAAUCAGGAAGGAGAGCGGGGAAGUCAGCGAGGGCUGCCUUGCACGUUUCAUAAGCCUCAGGGAGCUCCUGACAAUGGAAUGGAGGAAAUACGCGGUGCGCGGAAGGGUUGGUUUCCCUUCCUGGCAACCGAAUGAGCAAUGCUUCCGAGAGACCCUCAGUCAGUGCGCAGCAAAGUCCCCCGACGGGAGCGGCUGGUGUCCCCCUCCUGCAGACAGCCCCAGCAACAACCUUCCCUGGUCUGCUCUGUAGACCUCAGGACUGGUGAGACGAAGCACAUUCUUUCUAAUAGGCCUUCUCAUCCAUUUUCCUUUUAAUUGAAGCAGCACUGGGUCAUAGUUAUUAAUUAAUAAUAUA